AUCGCUUAAAAGGGAGGAAUGAAUUCGCGGAAUAAAACGUAUGUAGUAACAUUAAAGCUCAGGAUCUAAGGGAACAUAAAAAUGAGUACGCCUACACUACCGUUUCACGCAAUAUUCCAAUAACUCAGCUUUUAAUUAAA
rnacentral:pre_miRNA from 1 species